AGCGUGUAAGCCGAAAAACGCUAAAUCCAAAGAGUAGGCA
rnacentral:ncRNA from 1 species